CACGUAGGAGGCGAGCGUUUGUCCGGAAUCAUUGGGCGUAAAGAGCGCGCAGGCGGCUUGGCAAGUCGGGUGUGAAAUCCCGGGGCUCAACCCCGUGACUGCAUCCGAUACUGUCAGGCUAGAGGUAGGUAGGGGAGAUCGGAAUUCCUGGUGUAGCGGUGAAAUGCGCAGAUAUCAGGAGGAACACCGGUGGCGAAGGCGGUUCUCUGGGCCUGACCUGACGCUGGAGGAGCGAAAGCGUGGGGAGCGAACAGG
rnacentral:rRNA from 1 species